rnacentral:ncRNA from 1 species
GAACAUGCGAUGAGAAAGAAGAGUACAUAUUGCGAUGCCUUCAGAGAGCUUGUGGCUGGUGCGAACAAGCGGCUAGCAAUAUGGAAUGGGCUUUCGAGCAUCCGGCUGAACCGCAAAGUAGUAGGCUUGGACGUUUGCCUUACGUUAUCGAGGCGCCAUGUGCAGGCGCACAUGGGCAAAGUGAUUGCACGCAACGUGCAAUAACUAGGGUGGCAACGCGGUCCUACCGUCCCUAAC